UACAGAGGUGGCAAGCGUUGUUCGGAAUUACUGGGCGUAAAGGGCGCGUAGGCGGUCUUGUAAGUCCUGUGUGAAAUCCCUCGGCUUAACUGAGGAACUGCACGGGAUACUGCGAGACUUGAGAUCGGGAGAGGGAAGCGGAAUUCCGGGUGUAGCGGUGAAAUGCGUAGAUAUCCGGAGGAACACCGGUGGCGAAGGCGGCUUCCUGGACCGACACUGACGCUGAGGCGCGAAAGCUAGGGGAGCAAACGGG
rnacentral:ncRNA from 2 species